GUUAAAACAUUUUACAGAAAAAGGCUUGCGAUACUGCAAAAGGGUUGUAUGUUUGCACCCGCAAAACGGGCUAACUGUUGCGCGGAUGUUCAUAGAAAGCAUAGGGCGAUAAAGUUGAGUUAUAGAGAGGUUAAAAUUUCUUUAAAAAAAACUUCAAAAAAAGCUUUUCAGAAUAAAAAAGGGUUGUAUGUUUGCACCCCCGCAAAACAGGGUUACUUGUUAGCGAUUAUGUUCAUAGAGAGGUAUUGUUUUUAAAGGAGUUUUAAGGAGGAAAAAAUAAUUUCAAAAAACUUUUUAAAACGCUUGUUAGGAAAGAAAAAGGUUGUAUGUUUGCAGCCGCAAAACGAGAGAGGUUUUGCAGGAGUUCUAGGGAGGUUUUGAGGUUAAGAAAUUAAGACUAAAAAAAACUUUAAAAAAAGCUUGUCAGAAUAAAUAAAGGUUGUAUAUUUGCAGCCGCUUAGACAAACAAGCAAACGUUCUUAACUAAAGAGAAAGAAAAUAAGAUACUGCCGGAAGGGGUAGGGAAGUAGCGAGGUUCGAUUCCUUAAUCUUACACAAGAAUUGCUAGCGAUGAAGAUUGCUUUAGUGAUUAGAGAAAGUUCAUAGACAUAUUGAUUGACAGCGCGUUUUACGAUUUAAUCUUUCGGGAUUAGGUUGUAGAAGCAAACAAAGAAUUAAGACUAGAAAGUCAUACUUGAGAUUACGAUAAAUUCCGGUGUUGUUUUUAGAUAAUAUUUAAAGAUACACGAUGAAGAGUUUGAUCCUGGCUCAGGAUGAACGCUAGCGGCAGGCUUAACACAUGCAAGUCGAGGGGUAACAGGGGUAGCUUGCUACUUGCUGACGACCGGCGCACGGGUGCGUAACGCGUAUAGAACCUACCUUAUAGAAGGGAAUAGCCCAGAGAAAUUUGGAUUAAUGCCCUAUAGUAUUAUUGAUUGGCAUCGAUUAAUAAUUAAAGAUUUAUCGCUAUAAGAUGGCUAUGCGUUCUAUUAGCUAGUUGGUAUGGUAACGGCAUACCAAGGCAACGAUAGAUAGGGGUCCUGAGAGGGAGAUCCCCCACACUGGUACUGAGACACGGACCAGACUCCUACGGGAGGCAGCAGUGAGGAAUAUUGGACAAUGGAGGCAACUCUGAUCCAGCCAUGCCGCGUGCAGGAAGACUGCCCUAUGGGUUGUAAACUGCUUUUAUAGAGGAAGAACUAGUGCUACGUGUAGCACCUUGACGGUACUCUACGAAUAAGGAUCGGCUAACUCCGUGCCAGCAGCCGCGGUAAUACGGAGGAUCCAAGCGUUAUCCGGAAUCAUUGGGUUUAAAGGGUCCGUAGGCGGGUCUGUAAGUCAGUGGUGAAAGUUUACGGCUCAACCGUGAAAUUGCCAUUGAUACUGCAGGUCUUGAAUUAUUGUGAAGUGGUUAGAAUAUGUAGUGUAGCGGUGAAAUGCAUAGAUAUUACAUAGAAUACCGAUUGCGAAGGCAGAUCACUAACAAUAUAUUGACGCUAAGGGACGAAAGCGUGGGUAGCGAACAGGAUUAGAUACCCUGGUAGUCCACGCCGUAAACGAUGGUUACUAGCUGUUCGGACUUCGGUCUGAGUGGCUAAGCGAAAGUGAUAAGUAACCCACCUGGGGAGUACGUUCGCAAGAAUGAAACUCAAAGGAAUUGACGGGGGCCCGCACAAGCGGUGGAGCAUGUGGUUUAAUUCGAUGAUACGCGAGGAACCUUACCAGGGCUUAAAUGUAGUCUGACAGCUUUAGAGAUAGAGUUUUCUUCGGACAGAUUACAAGGUGCUGCAUGGUUGUCGUCAGCUCGUGCCGUGAGGUGUCAGGUUAAGUCCUAUAACGAGCGCAACCCCUGUUGUUAGUUGCCAGCGAGUAAUGUCGGGAACUCUAGCAAGACUGCCGGUGCAAACCGCGAGGAAGGUGGGGAUGACGUCAAAUCAUCACGGCCCUUACGUCCUGGGCCACACACGUGCUACAAUGGUAGGGACAGAGAGCAGCCACUGGGUGACCAGGAGCGAAUCUAUAAACCCUAUCACAGUUCGGAUCGGAGUCUGCAACUCGACUCCGUGAAGCUGGAAUCGCUAGUAAUCGCAUAUCAGCCAUGAUGCGGUGAAUACGUUCCCGGGCCUUGUACACACCGCCCGUCAAGCCAUGGAAGCUGGGGGUACCUGAAGUCCGUCACCGUAAGGAGCGGCCUAGGGUAAAACUGGUAACUGGGGCUAAGUCGUAACAAGGUAGCCGUACCGGAAGGUGCGGCUGGAACACCUCCUUUCU
rnacentral:rRNA from 1 species